rnacentral:rRNA from 1 species
GACGAACGCUGGCGGCGUGCCUAAUACAUGCAAGUCGAACGCAGUGGGGCCGGGUGAGUAACAAGUGGGUAACCUCCCCUCAGAGGGGAUACCACUUGGAAACAGGUGCUAAACCGAUACUGAUGGAUGGACCCGCGAGGAAUGAGCAAGUUGGUGAGGUAACGGCUCACCAAGGCCACGAGGCAUAGCCGAACUGAGAGGUGGAUCGGCCACACGUGGACUGAGACACGGCCCAGACUCCUACGGGAGGCAGCAGUAGGGAAUCUUCGGCAAUGGACGAAAGUCUGACCGGGCAACGCCGCGUGAGUGAAGAAGGUUUUCGGAUCGUAAAACUCUGUUGUUAGAGAAGCGGUAUCUAACCAGAAAGCCACGGCUAACUACGUGCCAGCAGCCGCGGUAAUUC